UGAUUUAUUUGUUCAUUAAUUUUUUAUAAAUGUGUUACUGGCACUAGAUUAAAGGUGGAUCUGUAUUUUAAGUGUGAAAACUGCUUAUGGUCCUACUUGUGCAAAUAGAGUAUCGAAGAGUAAAAGUAAAAGCGCAUUCUCUAUCUCAGGAUUUAAAUAAAGAA